rnacentral:rRNA from 1 species
UACGUAGGGGCCGAGCGUUGUCCGGAGUUACUGGGCGUAAAGCGCGCGCAGGCGGUCUCUUUAGCCCGGCGUGAAAGCCCCCGGCUCAACCGGGGAGGGUCGUCGGGGACUGGGAGACUUGAGGACGGCAGGGGCUGGUGGAAUCCCCGGUGUAGUGGUGAAAUGCGUAGAGAUCGGGGGGAACACCCGUGGCGAAGGCGGCCAGCUGGGCCGGUCCUGACGCUGAGGCGCGAAGGCGUGGGGAGCGAACGGG